rnacentral:ncRNA from 1 species
CAAAACGCUGUGAGAAAGUUGAGUAGUCACGGUAACCAGUAAGCGAGCUUUGGUUGGUGAGAGAAAGCCUGGUUGACGUGGUGAAAAUCCCUUUUGAGCGGUGCACCGAAGUUUGAGUAACGUGCACUGGCAACCCCCAUUAUCGGGUUAGCGUAUCGCUUUUUAGCCGUACGUGAAAAGGUUGUUUUAGUGAUGAAACGACAAGUUAAGGUGGUACCGUGCAGCGCACCCUUAAA